rnacentral:lncRNA from 1 species
GGGGUCCUUCAGCAGUAGUGCAAUGAGGAGCAUGCACACGAGAGAUUCUAUUUUCCUUGGAUGGCUUUCUUGAGCCUUGGAAAUCUGGCUUACCAGGAAUUCUAGGCUUCUGUUGUCCCUUGCUUCCUAUCUGAAAUAUUUGGCAACAUUUUCAGACAUCUUUGAUCAUCACAGUGGGGAGUAAAGCCAGCUGCAAUUAUAAAGAUGCACACACACACUCACAAAAGAGAAAGAGGAGCAGAAAGAGUGAAGAAAACAUGUCCAUUUAUUAGAAAAUAAAUAUACAAGUACAAUAGAAGAAAAGGGGGUAGAAAACAUUUUGAAGAUUUAGAAAAGUAAGUUCAUUAUCACAUAAAAUGUCUCUCUAAAGCUCUGUUCUUUCAAGUGAUUUUUUUCUUAAAAUUUCCCUUUGUGUUCUGAAUUUGCCUUUAAACUAUUGCUGAAACUGUCUCAGACAGUAUAUUUUUAAUUAUUUAAUUCUUAGAAAAUCUCCUUUAGGUGAAUGCUAGGGACAGGGAUUGCUCUAUAGAUGGCAAUGGUAAUAGGCAAAGAGGUAAUAAUUUGAGUGUUAGAUAAAAAUCCAGGUCAAAGCUGCUUUACUACUAUAUUUCAAAUCAUUUUUAAAAGCUAUCAUUAGAUAUUGUCUUUACCUAUUAAUAUUAAAAGACUAUUAGCAGUAUUAAAUUAUGCAACAAUUAGUACUUUCUGUAAGCAAUAUUACCAAUAUGAAUAGGGAAAACUAGUAUUUAGUUUACAUAGAGAGUUUGGAGUAUAUCACUAUGUUUCUCAGAAAACAUCCUAUUGUUUUGUGUAUGUUCUGUAUAGCUCUUUUGUUUUUUAAAAAGUCAUACCAAGAGAUAGAAAUUUUUAAUGCCUGCCAGUGUGUAGCAUUUACUUUUCUAAAAACUAAAACUUGUAUGUGUUUAUGGUAUAAAACAUAUUUUGACAUAUGUAUACAUUGCAGAAUGGCUAAAUCAAGCUAAUUACCCUUCCAUUACCUCACAGACUUUUUUUUGUUUGUGUGUGGUAAGAACUCUUAAAAUCUACUUUCUUAGCAACUUUUAAAUACACAAUACAUUGUUCUUAACUGUAGUCAUCUUGCUGGGUCUCUUGAAUUUAUUCUUUCUGUCAAACUUUUGUAUCCUCUGACCAACAGAAAAAUAGAAAUGUUGAAAGGAUGAAUUUAUGUAUCACACGUCAUUCAUCAGGUAUUUUUAGAAAUGGUAUUAUUUGAAAAAUGUCUAACCAUUGCUGUUAAUCUUGAAUCUGCUGCAUUCCUAAUAUCACAUAUUUUGUCAUCUUUCAAUAAUUGCCUG